UACGUAGGGGGCAAGCGUUGUCCGGAUUUAUUGGGCGUAAAGAGCGUGUAGGCGGUCUGUUGCGUCCGCUGUGAAAUCUCGGGGCUUAACCCCGAGCCUGCAGUGGAUACGGGCAGACUAGAGGUAGGUAGGGGAGAAUGGAAUUCCCGGUGUAGCGGUGAAAUGCGCAGAUAUCGGGAGGAACACCGGUGGCGAAGGCGGUUCUCUGGGCCUUACCUGACGCUGAGGAGCGAAAGCGUGGGGAGCGAACAGG
rnacentral:rRNA from 1 species